AUGGCGGUGGAGUACCGCUGCUGCGGGGGGGCCUUCUUCGAGCACAUCGCCAUCAUCGUGGUGCUGGUGCUCUUCGCGGGGCUCAUGUCCGGGCUCACCCUCGGCCUCAUGUCCCUCAGCCUCGUCGACCUCGAGGUCCUCGCCAAGUCCGGCACCGACAAGGACCGCAAGUACGCAGCUAAGAUAUUGCCUGUGGUGAAAAACCAGCACCUUCUGCUAUGCACUCUUCUGAUCUGCAACGCUGCUGCCAUGGAGGCACUGCCAAUCUUCCUUGAUAGCCUGGUGACUGCUUGGGGUGCGGUUUUGAUCUCUGUGACAUUGAUCCUACUGUUCGGCGAGAUCAUACCACAAUCUAUCUGCUCACGGUAUGGGCUGGCAAUUGGUGCCUCGGUUGCUCCGUUAGUCCGAGUUCUUGUUUGGAUCUGUUUCCCUGUUGCAUAUCCGAUCGCCAAGCUGCUGGACCAUGUGCUUGGUCACGGUAAAGCGGCACUUUUCCGUAGGGCUGAGCUAAAAACACUUGUGACACUGCAUGGAAAUGAGGCUGGUAAAGGUGGAGAGUUAACCCACGAUGAAACAACUAUAAUAGCUGGAGCUCUUGAGCUCAGUGAAAAGAAAGCUAAAGAUGCUAUGACACCUCUUUGUGAUACGUUUGUCAUUGAUAUAAAUGCAAAGCUCGACAGAAAACUAAUGCAAGAGGUCAUUGAGAAAGGUCAUAGCAGAGUGCCAGUUUAUUAUGAAAAGGAUACAAACAUUAUUGGAUUGAUAUUGGUGAAGAAUUUAUUAUCCAUUAACCCUGAUGAUGAAAUUCCCAUAAAGAGCGUAACCAUCCGCAAAAUUCCUCGCGUUUCAGAAGACAUGCCCCUGUAUGACAUCCUAAACGAAUUCCAGAAGGGCCACAGCCACAUGGCGGUUGUCAUAAAGCAAAACAUUCCAAGCUACCCAGCUAAGCAGCCCAGCAUCGAUGGUGGAUCUCUUGAGGUCGCCAUCGCCAUCGAUGAGAAGCAGGGUGAGAAGGUUGCGAAGAGUCUCACCCCGCUGCGGAGGUGGAAGAGCUACCCCAACACCCUCAACUCCAACACGGGAAGCAGGAGGGGGAAAUGGUCCAAAGACCAGUCGGACGUUCUCCAAGUGCACGAAGAGCCGUUGCCCACGCUGAGCGAGGAUGAAGAAGCCGUCGGUAUCAUAACCAUGGAGGAUGUCAUUGAAGAACUGCUGCAGGAGGAGAUAUACGACGAAACCGACGUACAUGUUGAGGAACAAUAA
rnacentral:rRNA from 1 species